rnacentral:rRNA from 1 species
GACGUAGGGCGCGAGCGUUGUCCGGAUUUAUUGGGCGUAAAGGGCUCGUAGGCGGUUUGUCGCGUCGGGAGUGAAAUCCACUGGCUUAACUGGUGGCUUGCUUUCGAUACGGGCAGACUGGAGGUAUGCAGGGGAGAACGGAAUUCCUGGUGUAGCGGUGGAAUGCGCAGAUAUCAGGAGGAACACCGAUGGCGAAGGCAGAUCUCUGGGACCGUAACUGGACGCUGAGGAGCGAAAGCAUGGGAGCGAACAG